GACGAACGCUGGCGGCGUGCCUAAUACAUGCAAGUAGAACGCUGAAGGAGGAGCUUGCUUCUCUGGAUGAGUUGCGAACGGGUGAGUAACGCGUAGGUAACCUGCCUGGUAGCGGGGGAUAACUAUUGGAAACGAUAGCUAAUACCGCAUAAUAGCAGUUGUUGCAUGACAACUGUUUGAAAGGUGCAAUUGCACCACUACCAGAUGGACCUGCGUUGUAUUAGCUAGUUGGUGGGGUAACGGCUCACCAAGGCGACGAUACAUAGCCGACCUGAGAGGGUGAUCGGCCACACUGGGACUGAGACACGGCCCAGACUCCUACGGGAGGCAGCAGUAGGGAAUCUUCGGCAAUGGACGGAAGUCUGACCGAGCAACGCCGCGUGAGUGAAGAAGGUUUUCGGAUCGUAAAGCUCUGUCGUAAGAGAAGAACGAGUGUGAGAGUGGAAAGUUCACACUGUGACGGUAUCUUACCAGAAAGGGACGGCUAACUACGUG
rnacentral:rRNA from 1 species